CAAGAAUGAAGAUUUUGUUUUGAUUGCUUUUCAAAGGGGUAUACAACAACAGCGUUAAAUCCGAACAAUUAACCCUACAACGUGAACGCAUGAUAAAACAGAGUGCUAAACCAGGAAAUUUAAGCUCAACCUUCCGAAUAAAAUGAGCCUACCUUCGUUUCUUCUAAUGGAUUUUUUUGAAUGCUACUCUUUCAAGAAGCUCUAAUGAAUAUCGAACAAACUGCAGUAACCUUGAAUUGUACAAACUAGUAUUCCAGGUAGAUGAGAGGAUUUGCUUGCUAAAAAUGAUAAACUGUACACUUCUCAGACCCUAUUGGAAUAUCUCUCAAUCAUGUGUGGAUUAGAUCUUGAAUGUUGCAUGCAAUGCUUCUUCGGCCAACGAGUACACAAAUGAAGCCUUUCAUAUUUAACAGACCAACAAAAUAACAAGUGAAAUUUUACACAAGGUGUGGAUCAGACCACCACCUUUUUACCUCAGAUUUCCACCGAACUUCCUUGAGCAUCCCAUCCAAUCCAUAAUCCCUUUCCAUAACAAGUUUGGUUCCCUCGUCCGAGUACCAUCCAACUCCAAUGCAAAGGAUGCCAUCCUUGCCAACAUCAACAUAUCCUGAGGCACCAUCUGGCAGCCAAAGGAGAGUCACAUCCUACAUGUCUAUUAUCUCCUCCUCCCCAAAGUAGAUUGGAUUUUCAGGCAAGCUCCUCUUUUUCAAGGUUUCUGUACAAAAGUACACGUAUGGGGCACUGAUGCUGUCCCCACUUACCAUCUCAUCUCCAAAUACUGGAGUAGCAUUCACCUCAAAAACUUUCCACGACCCCGUCAGCUUCAAAGGCUGGAUAUGUUUCCUGUGAGAAAAUGGCUUUAGACUAAAUUCCAGAUCACUGUUCACAUCAUAUCAGGCAUAAUAUUAGACAGCAGUAGAAGGCAUAAACUCUCUCAUCUUUUUGGCUGGAACGCUGGAAGACAUACAAGAAACUAGAGAGAAAAAAUAUAUAUAAAAUUUCCUAUAUACGGAACUAUGAGAAGUAGAACAAGGAAAUGUGUGGAAGUAAAAAAGCAGAAUGUAAAUCCUAGAUAACCAGGGGGAAAUUGGCGAGAUUUUUCCCUCCUUUACUUCUUUACAACUUUAACCCAAAAGCCCAAGAGAAUAUGAAAAUAAACCCUUUUAAUAGACACAUGGGUACUGAGCAUUGUGAAACUGCAUUAAUAAUAAAUGGAAAUAAAGCAUCAAGUACCUUUGAUCCCGGCUAUUUGCUGGAUUGACUCACCGUUCUUCGUAAACAGCAACUCUCAUUAUCUGUGUCACGACCCAAUCUAUGGGCCGGACCGGCAGUAGGACCUGAACCAGCCUAAAGCCCCCGAGACUCAUAGUAAGCUUAAUUAUUCCUUAACCUAACUAUAAGGCCCAUUUGGGUCCAAUUUCAAGAAUUCAACCGGAUAGAGUCCGACCAUAAAAUGGAUCAUUUAACGAGGAGUUUUUGACUCGCCCAACCUGUAAAUAAUUUUACAGGUAAUCCCAUCCCAUCAUGCAUACAGUUAAUA
rnacentral:misc_RNA from 1 species